AACGAACGCUGGCGGCAUGCCUAACACAUGCAAGUCGAACGAGACCUUCGGGUCUAGUGGCGCACGGGUGCGUAACGCGUGGGAACCUGCCCUUAGGUUCGGAAUAACUCCCCGAAAGGGGUGCUAAUACCGGCUAAUGUCUUCGGACCAAAGAUUUAUCGCCUUUGGAUGGGCCUGCGUUGGAUUAGCUAGUUGGUAGGGUAAAAGCCUACCAAGGCGACGAUCCAUAACUGGUCUGAGAGGAUGGUCAGCCACACUGGGACUGAGACACGGCCCAGACUCCUGCGGGAGGCAGCAGUGGGGAAUAUUGGACAGUGGGCGAAAGCCUGAUCCAGCAAUGCCUCGUGAGUAAUGAAGGCCUGAGGGUUGUAAAGCUCUUUUACCCGGGAUGAUAAUGACAGUACCGGGAGAAUAAGCUCCGGCUAACUCCGUG
rnacentral:rRNA from 1 species